UGUUUUGUGCCAAUACAUACUGAACACACAACAUGCUUUAUCUGAAGCUCUUCCAAGAUCCCUACACCCGAACAGUUACUUUCUCCAUUUUCCAUCACUUACACAAAAAAUUCCAAGAGAAGUGAAGACACGUGUCCAAAUCAAAUGGCCAGUAAGAGAGAUGCAGAGGCCUGGUGUGGUGGUUCACACCUGUAAUCCCAGCACUUUGGGAGGCAGAGGUGGGCAGAUCACCUGAGGUCAGGAGUUAGAGACCAGCCUGGCCUACAUGGCAAAACUCCGUCUCCACUAAAAACACAAAAAUUAGCCAGGCGUAGUGGUACACGCCUGUGAUCCCAGCUACUCAGAAGGCUGAGGCAGGACAAUCGCUUGAACCCAGGAGGCAGAGGUUGUAGUAAGCCGAGAUUGUACACAGGGUGGGUGACAGAGCAAGACUCCAUCUCAAAAAAAAAAAAAAAAGAAAAAAAAAAGGAGAGACAUGGAGGUCUGAACCCAGGCCUACCAGGCUCCAGUGUGCCUCCCCUCCCACUUCCUCAUGAGACAAGACAGUUUGUUUUUGCAUGACAAAGGAAACCCUCUGCAUGUACCAUAGCUGAAUACCAUUUCCCUCGUCCCUUCUCAGCCCAGGACAAAUACACUUUCUGAGAAUGGAGAUAGAGGUGGCCAGAGGAUGACUCUCAUGCCAGUUUCUGAGAAUUGAACUUGCUCCAAACAAUGUUGGUGUUUUUCUGAGUAAUGAGUAAGAGCAGGUGGGUGGAGGAUUCAGGAGAGAAAAAGGGGAGGGGGCACAGGCUAUGUCACAUAGGAGCAUACCCUCCGUACCAGGACCCAUGCUGAGAGGUGGUGGGAGGACUUCCACAUGUGUGGACACAUCUCAUCACUCUCUCAUCCAUGAUAUAGUCCUUGAAAGAGAAAAGACUGUAGCCAGCCGUACUCUUGGGCUCAAUUCUAGACAUGUCUGCUACUUCUAGACAUUCAACUUGGGAAGCUUUUCUUUCUUCUCUUUCCUACUUUUUUUUUUUCCAUAAGGAGGGAGGCAUCAUUAGCCCAAUAUUCUAUCCAACAACUUGGAUGCUUUGGCCAGGUGCCAUGGCUCAUGCCUGUAAUCCCAGCACUUUGGGAGGCACAGACAGGCUGAUCACUGGAGUUCAGGAGUUCAAAACCAGCCUGACCAACAUAGUGAAACCUGUCUCUACUAAAAAUACAAAAAUUAGCCGGGCGUGGUGGCAGACACCUGUAAUCCCAGCUACUUGGGAGGCUGAGGCAGGAGAAUCACUUGAAACUGGGACAUUGCAGUAAGCCAGUUUCAUACCACUGCACUCCAGCCUGGGCAACACAGAGAGACUCUGGCUCAAACAAAAAGAAGAAAACAAAAGAAAAAAGAAAAGAAAAGAAAACGGAUGCUUUCCAAGAUGAGUGACCAUAACUAGCAGAGCCAUCCAUUGAGCCCAAGUGUCUGAUUAUAAUCUUUUCUCUUUCAAGGACUAUGUCUCGUUCCCCCAUAAGGCUCCCUGCUGAGUUGCUACUUCUCUGAUAGCCCAAGUAUGAGUUGCCAUCAAUGGAAUCAGAGGCUCAGAGAGAAAUGAGCGUGCCCCAGGUCAUGCACUGAGAAAUACUGGAACAAGUUUCCAAACUCUCCCUCUUAGUGACUCCAGCUCUGAGCCUCUCCUGAAUCCACCUGCUCAACUCCUUCUCCAGCC
rnacentral:lncRNA from 1 species